rnacentral:rRNA from 1 species
AGAGUUUGAUCCUGGCUCAGGAUGAACGCUGGCGGCGUGCUUAACACAUGCAAGUCGAACGAAGCACUUAAGAACGAAUCUUCGGAGGAAGUCUUAUUUGACUGAGUGGCGGACGGGUGAGUAACGCGUGGGUAACCUGCCUCACACAGGGGGAUAACAGUUGGAAACGACCGCUAAUACCGCAUAAGCCGGAAGGAUCGCAUGAUCCGGCCGGAAAAGAUUUAUCGGUGUGAGAUGGACCCGCGUCUGAUUAGCUUGUUGGCGGGGUAACGGCCCACCAAGGCGACGAUCAGUAGCCGGCCUGAGAGGGUGGACGGCCACAUUGGGACUGAGACACGGCCCAAACUCCUACGGGAGGCAGCAGUGGGGAAUAUUGGACAAUGGGGGGAACCCUGAUCCAGCGACGCCGCGUGAGUGAAGAAGUAAUUCGUUAUGUAAAGCUCUAUCAGCAGGGAAGAAAGAAAUGACGGUACCUGACUAAGAAGCCCCGGCUAACUACGUGCCAGCAGCCGCGGUAAUACGUAGGGGGCAAGCGUUAUCCGGAUUUACUGGGUGUAAAGGGAGCGUAGACGGUUACGCAAGUCUGGAGUGAAAGGCGGGGGCCCAACCCCCGGACUGCUUUGGAAACUGUAUAACUGGAGUGCAGGAGAGGUAAGUGGAAUUCCUAGUGUAGCGGUGAAAUGCGUAGAUAUUAGGAGGAACACCAGUGGCGAAGGCGGCUUACUGGACUGUAACUGACGUUGAGGCUCGAAAGCG